rnacentral:tRNA from 1 species
GAUCCCUUGGCGCAACGGUAGCGCGUUCGACUCCAGAUCGAACGGUUGGGAGUUCAAAUCUCUCAGGGGUCA